rnacentral:lncRNA from 1 species
GAACUCUACAUUGUUAAGAGUGUGGUUUGUAGUUUUCCUUGUGUGUGUCAUGUUUAUUCGUCUCUUGCUAGGGUGCAUUUCAUGGCUAUAUUAUGAGGAUUGCUGAUAAGUGGAAAGGUGUUAUUGGUGAUUCUCACAAUGGGACCACUUUUAAUGUAAACCUACAGAAUGUUAUGAAAGAUAUUUGUUUGUUUUGUGAUAAGAUAUCCAAAAAUUUUAAAAAUAAACCUAGUGUUAUAUGGUGGAGUAAAAAUUUGAGUAUAAAAAAGGAAGCAAAUUAUUGCUUCCAGGAGAAGAUAUUAGAGAAAUAACAAUGAGCUUUUAUAUGUCAAGU